ensembl:snoRNA SNORA47 small nucleolar RNA, H/ACA box 47
CGGAGGACUGAGAAGGUGAGGCAGUUCUGAACCAUGCUGCCUUCCACUGGUUAAGACCUCCGAGAGCGAAGGCCUGCAGAGGCAGAGGAAGUCCCUCUGCCGCCCCCAGAGGGGCAGCACUGUGUUGGCCGACACUUG